rnacentral:lncRNA from 1 species
UUUGCUUUCCUUUUUUUUUUUUUUUCAUUUUUUAACUUUACAUAGAACGUAUAGUAGUAGUAUCCAUUAUGUUAUUGAUUAGUUUUUAAAGCACAUCCGUUUCGGUUGUAUAAUAAGGUUUUCAUGAAAACGUUUUUUGUUUUUCUCCAAAGUUUAUAUAUAUAAGAUAACGUUUCGGUUGUAUAAUAAGGUUUUCCUUUUUUCUUUAUGACUUUUUGGAUCGCAAAUUCAUAUAUUACCGUAAUUAAAGUUAGCCCAUGCAUAUACAAUUACUGUAUACAAAUCUGUGGUCCUUACUCAUUUUUAUCGCUAUGCACACAACUAUGACUCCUAGCUAAUUAAGAUAAGUAUUUAUGUACAUGAACAUCGACAACAGUCUCAGCGACUAUUAAAUAGUUUAUCUUUCUAGGAAUGCAUGAACCUGAAAUCACGUACCCGUUGCCUUUAGACUAAUUUUUCUUUUUCUUUUUUUGCAAUUAAGUUAUAGGUGAUGUUCCCCUUCCUCAAAUGAUCCAAAUUUGUAACACGUCGAUGAUAUUGUUUUGAGUUUCGUCUUCAACAGUUACGUACGAGACAGGAAUUUUAAGCAAUAACAAGAAAAACGACAUGCUCAAAUAGUCAAGUUUAUAAG